GGGGUUGCGUCGCUGCUGAGAUGCGCGAGGGGAUCGGAGCUGCGCCAAGCGGAUUCAUCAGAGCACUUCGCUCCCGCUGCCUUUGGACUGAUGCUUAGAUGGAUUGAUGCGUAAGAGUUUGAAUCCUUUCAUUUUUCACUUCUCUAAUGGGUGGCUGAUGGCCUGAUGCUUUGAUGGAUCGAUGCAUGCUAGAACUGUCUGAUAUGUGCGUGCGUGUGCACAUUUUUUAUUUUGAUUUUUGUAGAGAUUGGUUCAUGCUUCUCUUCUUAUGGAUUUCUUCUUUCUUUUGUCUGUGUUUGUCACUCUGUUGCUGAAUGAUUUGGUGAUUUUUUUCUUUGUGGGCUUAUCUGAUGAAAUUUACUGCUAAUUAGAUCGUGCACUGACGUUGCCACCAGAAGAUAGAUCAUAGAUGCAUGUGUUUGCUUUCGAACAUGGUGCGUAAUCUUUAGGUUUGCCAAACGUCACCUCCGGCAAUUUCAGCUCAACAUGUCUUGGUGUCUGCAGAUGAUUUGGUGAUUUUUCUUUUCUUUGUGGGCUUAUCUGAUGAAAUUUACUGCUAAUUAGAUCGUGCACUGACGCUGCCACCAGAAGAUAGAUCAUAGAUGCAUGUGUUUGCUUUCAAACAUGGUGCGUAAUCUUUAGGUUUGCCAAAUGUCAUCUCCGGCAAUUUCAGCUCAACAUGUCUUGGUUUCUGCAUUCUGAGUUUAGAGUUCUACAUAGUGGAAUGGUUAGUAUAUGGGAGUUUGCAUCUACAGUUGCAUACUGUAGUUUCAUUCCGUCCUUCCUUAUUCAGAGAUGAACUGAACCUCUAAUUUUUCAUGUACUUUUGUGUGAUUGUGUGAAAGUGAGGUGGAACUGACUAUUUCGGGGGGAAAUCAAAAGAUACCACAUUAGUAUAGUAGAACGUACUACUUGCUCUUAAGAUUUCAGAAAUGACAUGUCAAGGACAGGGUAUAGAGAUCCGAAGAGUAUUCUCCUUCCGUCAUCGGUUGUUAAAUUAGUAACGCCCAGCAUCGUGUGCGAUGGAGCCCUUACCGCUGUUCACAACUGAACUCUUUAUUUUAUUUUAAUCCUUCGGAUUUGUCGGGUCAGGGAUCCUUCAGUUUUGUUGGAUCAGGAAGUAAGAGCACCGGGACUUCAAGGACGAUGUAGAUUGUCGAAGGCAAAGUUGCAGAGUGCAUGGGCAGCAGUACCAGUGCAAGAACCUCGCGCAUGACGGAGCUGCUGUGGUAGAGAAGCAAAACCCAACGACUAACUCUACAAGCUCUGGUCGCUGUCUUAAACAUCACUAACGUAAUCAUAUCUCACUCCAUUAUGC
rnacentral:rRNA from 1 species